UGUUUCUGUUCUUCAUCUCCAUCCCAGUGGAGGGACAGACUCAGAUGGAGACUGGAUUUCCUGAUUGCCUUUUUCCUUCUGCUCCUCAUACCCUUCUGGCCUCACCCCUCUUGUUUCUAACCUCUCAGGAUUUGUUUGGUUUUUGUUUUUAUUUUGUUUUGUUUUUUGUGUCCCCACCCCACCCCCCGCCAUGUUAGAACCAUGUCUAGGGCUGGAGAGAUGGCUCAGUGGUUAAGAGCACAGAUGCUCUUCUAGAGGUCCUGAGUUCGAUUCCCAGCAGCCACAUGGUAGCUUACAACCGUCUGUAAUGUGUUCUGAUGCCCUCUUCUGGCCUGCAGGUGUACAUGCAGAUAGUACACUCACAUUAAAUAAAUAAAGAAAUCUUAAAAAGAGGAAAAAAGAAAAGAAACCAUGUCUAGCACGGGGUGUGUGACAUGUGGGGGGCACUCAAAAUGUGGGGUUAAGGAGCUAGCAAUGUGAUAGACCUGUGUAGACCAUGAGAGUCCCUGGGCGCCUUCCCCAGCACCACCAUUAACAAACAAGAAAACAAGUAAAGCUGCUUAUCUAUCUAUCUAUCUAUCCACCCACCCAUCUAUAUCAAUCUGUCUGUCUACCUAUCAUCUACCUAUCAUCUAUCAUCCAUCAUCUAUCAUCUAUGUAUCUAUCAUCUGUCCAUCAUCUAUCAUCCAUCAUCUAUCAUCUAUCCACCAUCUAUCAUCUAUGUAUCUAUCAUCUAUUCAUCAUCUAUCAUCUAUGUAUCUAUCUUGAGUGAGCAAGGAUCAAAAGGAGAGACGGAGCCAGCUCUUUCUCUCUGUCCUUGCCUAUGCAUUCCCUAGACUCUGACUUGAAUUCUUCUUCUGGAGAGCAUUGAAGGUGGUUCCCACUCCGGGGCUUUGAGUAGUUUCUGCAUGGGGCAUUUUUGUGUGCGUGGUGUUUAGUGUCUCUUAGCCGCUGGUCGAAGCAGUAAACCAUAGUGGACAUUGUUCCUAUGGGAACAUGCCUUCCGAGUUCUGAUGAAGCCAUUGCAUCCAAGCCCUGUGUGAGAUCGUCUCAGUCCGUGGGGGCCUCUGUCACGUCUCCUGCUCAGCUUUUUAACCACUUUUCAUAUAAACGAACAAUGGACCCUUUCUUUGCUGAAGGACCAGAGCGAAAGAAGUCUUGUUUCUGAGAAUAUAAAUUAUUACAUUGAAAUGAAUCUCCUUCACAUGCUGCAUGAUGGUGUAUGAGGGGGUUCACACAUGAAUGAGAAAGACUGUACCCCGUAGAGGUCGGAAUCAGCUUCACUUAAAGAAGAUUUGAACUCAGCCUAGAAGGUCGUUUCCAGAUGUGAGGCGGUGAUUCUGUGGCUUUGGAGCUGCUCUAUCCGUGUGUUGCCAAAUUUAUUUUUAGACACAGGGGACAAAAGCACAGUGACAUCAUCAAGUAACCAAUCAUAGUGUCACCCUUCCAAGAUCUGAGAAUGUCCCUGCUGUCAUGACACAAAACCUAGAAGCAAACAGUAUGAUGCUGUUUUAUUUUCUUUCACUGUAUUUUGGGGCAUAACCAAUUACUAACUAUAAAGUGGGUUAGCCUUCCUAAUUUAUUUUAUUGUAUUUUACUUUGUGUGUGUAUAUGCUGUGUGUAUAUGGGCAUGAGUGUGUGUGUGUGUGUGUGUGUGUGUGUGUGUGUACAUGUAUGAUUGCAGACACACAGGUCAGAAGUCAAUUUUGAGAGUCAGCUCCGUCCGUCCAUCCCAUGGGUCCUGGGAGUGACACUUGGUUGUAAGGCUCGGGCUCUGUUACUCACUAAGCCAUCUUGACCCACCCACACAGUGGAUUUUUAUCUUAGCUCUUUUUAAUCAGAAAAAGAAUAAUGACACAUCAAGAAAAUAACAUAAAAGUAGCAUGAUAAAGACUUAAAAGUCCAGAUAGUUUCACUUUAAAAGUCCAUGUAAUGCCAGGCAGUGGUGGUGCACACCUUUAAUCCCAGCAAGGGGGAAGCAGAGGCAGGUGGAUCUUUGAGUCAGAGGCCAUUCUGGUCUACAAAGUGAGUUUCAGGACAGCCAGGGCUACACAGCGAAACUGUGUCUCAAAAAAAUAAAUAAAUAAAAAUAAAUAAAUAAAUAAGGAAGAAAAAGUCUACGUGAUAUUCUACAAGGAUAAUAUAUGCGUUUUAUGAAUAUUUACUUUUGGCUGGUGUUUGGUUCUUUGAGACAGGGUUUCUCUGUGUAACAGCUCUAACUGUCCUGGAACUCUCUUUGUAGACCAGGCUGGCCUCUAACAAAGAUUCUCCUGCUUCUGCCUCCCUAAGUGCUGGGAUUGAAGGUGUCUGCCAUCCCCACCACCAAAUGAAAAAGACAAAAAGAUAUGUCUUUUUUUUUUAAUGUUUCCUUUUAAUUGGUGUACUUUUUGCAACAAUUGUAUUAUUCUGUUGUGUCCACCAUCACAUGCAUGCACUGGUGCACACAGCAGAGUAUCUGUCUCUUCAGUUCCCCGUGACUCUUUCAUCCCUGGGCCUCUUUGGAGCUGGGAUAUGGGCAUUGUGUUUUCAUGAGGAAUGCUCUGCUGGUGUUUGCAAAAUAUACUUAAGAUUCCCUCUAGCAAAUUCACCUUUUUUAUUUUAUUUUAUUUUAUUUAGUUUAUGAACUGUAACUUUAUUCCUUUUCAUCCCCCCAGCUCUCCCCACGGCAUUCAUUCUCCUCCUCCUAGUGUUCUCUGGAUCACAGACCCCUUGUUGGUAGAGAUCUUUAAUGUCAAAUAAGGCCUGUGAAUGGCAUGAGCGUUACGGGCAGGUAGAUAAGGCCUGUGAAUAGCAUGAUCGUUACAGGCAGUAGACUGCCUGCUUCUCCCAGAGCCUGCAGAGAACUGUUCCAAGUUAGAAGAUUUCCCUCAUUAGUGGUCGGCCUCUGUGAGUGUUGGGCCUGCAGACAUGUGUGCUUUCUGUGUCUUCCCAUGCUUGCCUGCGUUGGCAGCAGUCGCACGUUCUUAUUUGUGCUGCCGUGUUCUUAUACUCACUGAGGCACGCAGCUCCGUGUUAGAGCCAUCUUCCUUCUCUACGGCAGCUACUGACAAACUGUGUGUGUAUUGCCGUGUGAAUUUCUCAUCCAGCAUCAGAGCAGCUUCUUUUAAUAUGAAACUUGAUCUUUGGACUCUGGUUCCCGUAAUUAUGGGAGACUGAAACCUGACUCAUGAGCCAUUAGUUGUGUUGGAGGGAGAGAACAGUCCGUCAGUUGUAUGCAGGAAGCCUGCUUUGUUGAGGCUGAGGGUACCUGAAUCACCGGGGUUGAAGGCACAUACAUACCACCACAGUAGGCUUGUCCUUCACACAGUGCUGGAGAGGGACUCAGAGUAAUGGUUAAUUGAUGGGAGAGAAAAUCAACAACCAGAGAGAAAACGGAGAUUACUCCACAGACACCGAUUACAUCUCUGGUCUUCUUCCUAUGGCAGCAGAGGCGUGUACAGUGCCCCCCAUGCUGUUAGCCUGGGUCUGGGGAGGGUGUUAGUUUGUUGCACUGAGAACAUGCAUUCACAUGUUAAUCUUCCUGUUAACUGUUAAUUUAGUGUUUAUUUUUUAAUAUCCAAUUCCAACUUGAUCUAGGGACUUAAAGGACAGCAAAUUCAUUUUUUUCCCUGCGUGCUUUUUCUAGGGCAGUCUUUUUUUUUUAAAUUUCUUACUGAUUCUUUCUAAGUUUCUUAUCAUGCACCCCAGUUCCACUAAUCUCCCCACACCCUUAUAUCUGCCCUUCACCUUUGCCACCUCUCCCCAAAACACACGCCCACGCACGUGCACCCCAAACCAAAGCAUGGGAAACGUCUCAUGGUGGAAGCUGUAAUGUGUCACAGUGUGUCCCACAGUGUGUCCCUCUGUCCACACAUCUUCACCUGCGAAUGUUCCUUGCAGUAAGUCUGGUUCAAGAUCCCUGGUUCUGUGACACCAUCAAUACUGGAUCCUCCUCAGGACUCGUGCUGGUUGUCCUGUUGUUGCCCCGUGCCAUGGAGAUCGAGCCUGCAGCGUUGGAUCAGCAGGACUGCCCUUUCAUGUGUCCCAACCUUUCACAAUGAUAGUGAUCUUAGGGUGGGCCAGUUCAGAGCCCUGGAUCUGGGCCUGGGUGGUAGCCAAGCUGUGUAGCUCACCGGCUCUCCAUUACCCUCACCACCAAAGCAAGCUCCUACUAGGCUACCACUGACCUGCACUCACACCCCCUGAGCCAGCUCUACUAUGCUGCCCAGUCUCAAGGUUCAGGGCCCACCCUCUCAACCUUGAGGGGCUGGGCCAGCUCUCCUGAUCAGGGCUGGCUCACCGGAGCUCCCUCAACCAGGUCCAACUGUGCUGCCCAGGCAAAGUGCAGGACCUGCUCUCAUGGCCCUGGGCCAGCUCUCCUGAUGGCCCCUCACAGGUGGUGAGGGGUAAAGUGGGGAGGGCAUCACCCCUGACACCUCAUGGAAUAAUAGUGGGGCCAACUCUUCCUUACUCUGUCCUUGAGGUUGGCUCCUCAGCCCCCACCCUGACCCCCAACCCUCACACACAUAACCAGGGUCAACACUACUAUGCUGCAGUCCACAAUGGGCAGGGCCAGCUCUCCCUCAUGACCCCAACUGCUUUGCCAACUGCUGCAGGUAGUCAGAGGCAAGGGGGGCAAGGCAUCAUCCCCACCAUGCCACCUCGCAGCAGAGGAGAGUGGGAAGGCCAGCUCUCCCAUGCUCUUGCUCCUGAGGCUGGCUUACCUGUGCCCACCACCCUCCGGGUCAGCUCCUCCAUGCUGUCCGGACAAUGUGCAGGGCCUACUCUUGUGAGUAUCGCAGCUGGAGAUGGGCGGGAACUCCUCUCCCUAGCUCAUGACCCUGUGGGCAGCUUUCUUGACUGUUGGAGGUGGUGAGGAGCAGGGGCAUCACCUUUGUGAUCCCAAGGCAGAUGAUCGAUAGGGUCAGCUCUCUCAUACUCAUGCUCUUAGGGCAUACACACACACACACACACACACACACACACACACACACACACACACACACACACACACACACUGCCAGGGCCAGCUCUACUGGGCUGUCUAGGCGAGGCACAGGUCCGGCUCUCCAGAGUAGUGCAUCCAGUGAGGCAGGGCCAGUUAGUCACAUCCCCUGGAUGGCCACGUGACCCCUCAACCAGGUCCAGCCCUACCGGGCUGCCCAGGCAAAGUAUAGAGCCUGCUUUGCUGAGCGCAGCAACAGGCGAGGGGCAGGUACAGCGAUUGCCUUGACCAGGGAUAUCUCCAGUGGCAGUACGAACCUUGGACAUUGACACUGACUCCUGCCACUGUAUAACCAUGGACCCAGACAUGGCAGCUCAGGCUGGGACCUUGCCAUGGCCCCUGGUGGCAGAGCUGGCCGCUCACAGCAGGCUCCUCCUCUCUCACAGUGCUCAAGCUGCCCCCUUCUCUCUCCCAUCCGACCACCACAGACUCACACACUGUGGUGGUUCCUGCUGCAGGCUGGCCACGUGGCUGGUGGGCCCCUGGCAAGUCCUCCAUCCGGGUUGCACUGCACAGCGGCGAGCACAUGUCUAUGCUGCCUGUGCUAUGCGCUGGAGGGCAAGUCUGUGGAUGGCAUGGCAUUCCUCAGGUCUCGGUCUUCCUCCUCCCGAGCUGCGCUGCCUGGCUUGGAUUUGACUUGGUUUUUAUGAGUCCUGGGCAUAAGGCAGCUUUGCUCACCAAGCCAGGCACCAAGCUAGGACUCCCAAAGGACCACAUCCGCUCUGACUGAAAUAAGAACAACACUAAGAAGGCGUCUCUUUGCCCCUUGGCUGGGUUGGGGUGGGCACAAUCAGUGUUUAACCCUUAAAGAUUUCCCGGGUUUGCCUUCCACACUCUGUGCACAUUGCAAUCUUCACUAGUAGUUUUUUAGUGCCAGGGGAGAGAACCUGCUUCUAUGCUAGGUAGGAUUUUGUAAGUCAUAUCCACAGGCUUUUUUUUUUUUUAAGGAAAAUAAGAUGAUUUGCUCUAGUUUUGAAAAAAAAAACGAUUUAAAAUAGGGGCUCCUGUCAGCAUGGCAAAGCAUCUCUUGUGUUUUAGUGCUAAAUUGCUUUCUGAGAAGAAAAAUUGCUUCCUAGAAGAGGAACCCAUGGGUGGCGCCACAGCUCAUUUGGGAAGGGGGGGAGCAGGAAACUCGACUCUUGGGGUUCUCUUAGUUUUUGUUUUCCCUAUAGCUGCUGUUCUUGGAGAUGUUGGUCGUGAUUGUUUUAAGCUUGGACAUUGAGGUAGGUGGCUGUAGAAAGGGCAGCUUUGCAGGAGCUCUUGAGAGCCAAACCUUGAGACCGCACAAAGAUGUCUGCCAGGAGCCAACCCCCUCACCUCAGCCUCCUUUCCUCACCUCCAGGCUCAUCCCAUCUAACAGGCGCCUUGAGUGUACGAAAGUGGGAAGGUGGAAACUGUCUAGCACAGAUGUCUUCCAUGUUGACAUCACAGAACUCUGUGAGGAUUCAUUACCUCAAAUGUGUGAGGUUACCCUGUCACGUAUCCUAAUAUUGUAGUUACUCAGCAUCCAGCUUAGAAGGGGACCAAGCUUCUGUUCCAAGGGGCACAUCUACUCGCAUGCUGAGUGGUCCCUAUGGAAAGUUUUCUCUGCAUUGACAUCUGUCUCCUGUGACUUCUUGUUUUCCUAAACAUGUUGUUUGUUUGCUUGUUUUUGGUGCAGGGGAGGGUGGUGCGUGCUACAGUGUGCCGUCCACAGCACUCCUGUGGAGGUGAGAAAAUGUCUUGUGGGGGUCAGUUCUUUAUUCCAGUUCAGGUUGUCCGCCUUGUCAGCAAGCACCUUCAUCCCCAGCCAUCUCACCCGGCCACCUGUUUCUCUCCCUUUUUCGGAUCUCUACCAGACAAAGCUACCCUCUUGCCUUUCUCUUUUCCUAUCCAUAUAGUUUCAUUGUUAUUUCUUUAACAUUCAUUGACUCAGCUCACACUUACUGAACAGCUAGUGUGGGCAUGAUUUGUUCUUGGUGCCCAGUGUCAGACAGCAGCGUCUUCGAGGGUAAUGACUGGCAUGGAGCCAAUGAAUAUAAAACACGCUCUCUGUCAGCGCUAACAGUGGAGACAGAGCGGUUAACCCCAGUCACGAGAAAACUGGUUUAAAUCAGGUUUCAAUUCCUUAUGGCCCAACCAGGUGAUAUAGUUGCCAAGAAGGCCAGCCUGAGCUACGUCAUCACCCUGCGGAUGAGCGCCAAGAGGUCCCGCUUGCUUUCUUCCUGUCAAGCAAGCCUUGGAGCACUGUACGUUUGGAACAGACAGCAGCAAACUAGGAUGUUUGGAAGGUCUCUCCAUUGCAGCCUUUAAAUGGAUGAGAAAGCCACUGUGUCCCUGGCUCUGGGCUCGGCCUUCCCAUCUGGAUCAAGUUACUCACACAGCAGAUGUCAGCCCCUUACCUGCAGGUCCGUCUGUGGAUAGUUAGUACCCCCUCCUAAACUGCUGCUCCCAGAAUGCACCUGGUGUCUCCAGGGGGGUUUCUUCUUGGGUAAUGCCUUCUGACUCUCUUUCCUUGAGCUAGGUUUUUGUUUUUUGUUUUGUUUUGUUUAGUAAGGCAGUCGAAGAUUGAAUACCUAUAAAAGAAUAAAAGUGAAAGACUCUCAGUGUCGAAGUAUCAAAGUAUCGCUAGGCCACUUCCCUGGCAUUCUCUGUCCAUACAGUUUAUUCGUGUGUGCAGUGUACUUACCUAUAUUUCUCUCUCUUACAGUGUAAGUUCAUUGCUAUCCACGCUUUAUUUUCUGUCAGGAUCCUAUUUUAUUUUUUAAUUUGUUUAUUUCCAUGUGUGUAUGUGUUUAGCGUUUAUGCAUGUAUGUGCUUCUUGUGUGUGCUUGGUGCCGGUGGAGGACAGAGGUGUUGAAUCUCUUGGAACUGGAGUUACAUACGGUUAUGGCACUGCGAGUUGAACCAGGGUCCUUUGGAAGAGCAGUCAGUGUUCUUAACUAAUGAGCCACUGUUCCAGCCUGAGAGCCUUUUGGAUGUUGUCUCUUAUCUAACUUUGUCAUCAGCAGCUAAUAAGCACAUUCUCAAACUUCAUUAAUUCAGUUGUUUCAUUGAGUGAUGAAAUAGUACCAAGUCGUUCCCAGUCUCUGAGUGGUUUUCUUUUAAGAUGGCACUGCAGGGAGCUGGAGAGGUGGCUCUGUGGCUAACAGCAUUUGCUGCCCUUGCUACAUGGUGGCGCAGAGAAACAAUUGUAACUCCUGCUCCAGGAGAUCCAACACCCUCUUCUGGCCACUGUGGGCAGCAGGUAUGCAUGUGGUGCACAGAUCGUAUGUAUGCCAGCAAACACAUGCAUAAAAUAAAAAUGAGUAAAUGGGUUUUAAAAACCACAAUCGACAACUGAAAACAUGUAUUUUUGAGAUGGCAUGGCAGUUAACUGUGAACACUCUUGACUCUGUCACCCACAGUCUCAUUUUAUCCAAGCAUUGUCUGCAGUGGUACAGUGGCUUCUUGGUCCCUAGAGAUGAGACAUGGCCACAAUUUAAAGUAGCCUCUUCUAAUUCUCCUCUAACUCAAGUCCUUGCCUUGAUUAUUAUCUAGAAUAGUUAGGUAAAAAUGGAAGCUAAAUUGCUUGUCUCGAGACUUUGUGAAGGCUUGCCACCCUUUCUUCUGGUAUUUUCCUCUUGCUUCUGGUAAACCGUAAAAGAGAGACUAGACUGCCUUGUGGGCCCUGCUGCUGCCUCGGCUGCUGUCGGGCUCUGUCCAGUUUGCCUGCUUCUGUUUGAGAGCCACAUACCUUUCUGUGUUCAGUCUUAGCUGCCAGAGUACCAGGGACUGUGUUUGGUUUCUAACUUAGGAACUCUGUAGAAGGCUACAUUGUUCUCAGGUCACUUCAGUCCCUGGAACCUAUGUGGUGGGAGGAGAUAACUGAUUCCCAUGAGCUGUCCUUGGACCUCUACACAAGUGCACGCGCGCGCGCGCGCACACACACACACACACACACACACACACACACACACACACAAAUACAUAAAUGUGAUUUAAAUGUUUGUUUUGUUUAUGUUUUUCAAGACAGUGUUUCUCUCUGUAGCCCUAGCA